GACGAACGCUGGCGGCGUGCCUAAUACAUGCAAGUAGAACGCACAGUUUAUACCGUAGCUUGCUACACCAUAGACUGUGAGUUGCGAACGGGUGAGUAACGCGUAGGUUACCUGCCUGGUAGCGGGGGAUAACUAUUGGAAACGAUAGCUAAUACCGCAUAAUAUUGAUUAUUGCAUGAUAAUUGAUUGAAAGAUGCUAUUGCAUCACUACCAGAUGGACCUGCGUUGUAUUAGCUAGUAGGUGAGGUAACGGCUCACCUAGGCGACGAUACAUAGCCGACCUGAGAGGGUGAUCGGCCACACUGGGACUGAGACAAGGCCCAGACUCCUACGGGAGGCAGCAGUAGGGAAUCUUCGGCAAUGGACGAAAGUCUGACCGAGCAACGCCGCGUGAGUGAAGAAGGUUUUCGGAUCGUAAAGCUCUGUUGUAAGAGAAGAACGGGUGUGAGAGUGGAAAGUUCACACUGUGACGGUAUCUUACCAGAAAGGGACGGCUAACUACGUG
rnacentral:rRNA from 1 species